CUUACAUCCUCCUUGGCAGGAAGAGCUGAGUCAUCACCGCACCUAUGAUGGAUGUGCUUCAUCUCCUCUGACAUGGAUAAGCUCAAGCUUCCGAGACUGAGGUGAUCAGCCUGGAUUCCAGACAGGAUGCUGUUGAGUCCUAUGCUGGGAAUCUCAGUAGGUUGGCUGAAGAGAAGGUGAGGGCCUAGUACUAAGUCAUGCCAUGAUGUCGGUUGCUAGAAGUUGGGCUUCUUUCCUUAAUACAACGUGGAGCAGACAGUGAUGCCUUUGGGCUUCCUGGAGUGAAGGAUGAUUUUCCAUGAGCAGAAAAGGAUUUGUCUUCGAAUCCUGCUACUGUAAACUCUGAGAUAAGUAAAUGGAAACAGAUACAAGUCUUGAGAAUAAAUCCGACUGCUUACAUAGCAUGUAUGUUAACCUCUUCUUUUUGGCAGGUAGGAAAGGAUCAUCGAGCUGAUACACCCCAUCUCCUUGCCUACAAGCAGGACCUUCACUCAAGGUACCUGUUACUCAUUCAUUUUAGCAAGAUGGGGGAAUUUUUCUUUCUCUUUGCUUUCAUUCUUAGGAGGGGCCUUUGGUAAAUUGGAAAGAAAAG
rnacentral:lncRNA from 1 species